UAGGAAACCAGAGUCAGAGUGAGGUCAGGA
rnacentral:piRNA from 2 species